rnacentral:rRNA from 1 species
GAUGAACGCUGGCGGCGUGCUUAACACAUGCAAGUCGAACGGGAUCCCAGGAGCUUGCUCCUGGGUGAGAGUGGCGAACGGGUGAGUAAUGCGUGACCGACCUGCCCCAUACACCGGAAUAGCUCCUGGAAACGGGUGGUAAUGCCGGAUGCUCCAGUUGACCGCAUGGUCCUCUGGGAAAGCUUUUGCGGUAUGGGAUGGGGUCGCGUCCUAUCAGCUUGAUGGCGGGGUAACGGCCCACCAUGGCUUCGACGGGUAGCCGGCCUGAGAGGGCGACCGGCCACAUUGGGACUGAGAUACGGCCCAGACUCCUACGGGAGGCAGCAGUGGGGAAUAUUGCACAAUGGGCGCAAGCCUGAUGCAGCGACGCCGCGUGCGGGAUGACAGCCUUCGGGUUGUAAACCGCUUUUGACUGGGAGCAAGCCCUUCGGGGUGAGUGUACCUUUCGAAUAAG